UUCGAAAUUCUUUCGAUUUUUUGUCAAUUACACAUGUGUAAGAACUGUAUGAAUAUACUUUUGUCCAAUUUUAUUAUCAUAUUUUUUUAUAUAUUUUUUUAAAUUGUGCAUAAGGAUUUUUUUUGUGGGCCAAAUGACGUAAGAAAUUUGACAUGCUCAAAAAUCCUGCAGAAAUGCAAAAUUGACUGGCCUGAUGAACUCGGGAUGGCCGGGCAGUGAUAGUUGUUCCUUUCCAUCACUCGUUGUGUUGACUUCAUCAUGUCCAUUUUGUGAUGUUUUUUCACUAUAUAAUCAUAUUGCAAGUGCACGUGCAUUUGCAAUAUGUUUCAAUGUGCAUUUACCAUAUGAAAUUUGACCUUGCUCAAAAUGCAAAAUUGACUGGUCUGAUGAACACAGGAUGGCCGAGCAGUGAGAGUUGUACCUUUCCAUCACUCGUUGUGUUGAUUUCAUCAUGUCCAUUUGUUUAUGUUUUCUCACUUUUGCAAAGUCACUGUGCAUUUGCAAUAUGGUUCAAUGGGCAGGUACCAUCACGAAUUUGUCAUGCUAUAAAAAUCCUGCAGGAAUGUGAAAUUGACUGGCCUGAUGAACACAGGAUGGCCUGGCAGUGAUAGUUGUUCCUUUCCAUCACUCGUUGUGUUGAUUUCAUCAUGUCCAUUAGGUGAUGUUUUUUUCACUAUAGAAUCAUAUUGCAAAUGCACGUGCAUUGUUGUGCAACUGGUAACCCAAAAAUAAAAAUAUGCUUGUAAAUGCAU